rnacentral:rRNA from 1 species
CGCUGGCGGCGUGCUUGACACAUGCAAGUCGAACGGUAAGGCCCUUCGGGGUACACGAGUGGCGAACGGGUGAGUAACACGUGGGUGAUCUGCCCUGCACUUCGGGAUAAGCCUGGGAAACUGGGUCUAAUACCGGAUAGGACUCCUGGCUUCAUGGUUGGGGGUGUAAAGCUUUUGCGGUGUGGGAUGGGCCCGCGGCCUAUCAGCUUGUUGGUGGGGUAAUGGCCUACCAAGGCGACGACGGGUAGCCGGCCUGAGAGGGUGACCGGCCACACUGGGACUGAGAUACGGCCCAGACUCCUACGGGAGGCAGCAGUGGGGAAUAUUGCACAAUGGGCGCAAGCCUGAUGCAGCGACGCCGCGUGAGGGAUGACGGCCUUCGGGUUGUAAACCUCUUUCAAUAGGGACGAAGCGCAAGUGACGGUACCUAUAGAAGAAGGACCGGCCAACUACGUG